AACGUAGGAGACAAACGUUAUCCGGAGUUACUGGGCGUAAAGGGCGUGUAGGUGGUUUCGUAAGUCUGGCGUGAAAUUUUUCGGCUUAACCGGGAAAGGUCGUCGGAUACUGCAGAACUAGAGGACGGUAGAGGCGUGUGGAAUUCCGGGUGUAGUGGUGAAAUGCGUAGAGAUCCGGAGGAACACCAGUGGCGAAGGCGACACGCUGGGCCGCACCUGACACUGAUGCGCGACAGCAUGGGGAGCAAACAGG
rnacentral:rRNA from 1 species